rnacentral:tRNA from 1 species
CGUGGCCUAGUGGCUAAGGCACCAGGCUAAUAACCUGAAAGUCACAGG